rnacentral:lncRNA from 1 species
GCGUUGCGGGAGCUGCUGAUCCGCCAAGCAGAUGCAAGCGAACAGCCUGAGGCAGGAGAAAGAGAACGGCGGCCGCGGCGGCCGCGGCGGCAGUGGCGGCGGGCGGCUGGGGCCCCGAGGCGGGCAACCCAGCCUUCGAACAGCUGGGCCGCGGUGCCGCCCCCUACCCCGGGGUGCAGGUGGGCCUGCCGGGCAAACCCCCCUCAAGAUGGGGGGCAGCGGUUGAGGGGUGAAGUGGCGGGGAUGGCCUCCUCGCCCCCCUGACUCCUCUCCCCCGACCACAGGACAAGGGCAGCCUCGGGCCACUGGCCCCCGGCAGAGCUGGGCAGCCUCGGCGUGGGGGCUCCGGGCUUCGGUCCCGACGAGCGCCUGGGCCGCCCGGCCCCCCCAGCCACACCCUCCGCCCUGGAUAUGAACAGCAGGCAACUGGUCGGUGGCUCCCAAAGCUUCUAUUCGCGGGCAACCUACCCGGGCUCCAUGGCCCAGCAGCAGCAACGGCAACAGCAGCUUUGGCAGCAGCAGCAGCACAGCAGCAGCAGCAGCAACAGUCCACGGCCUCCAUGCGUCUCACCAUGCCCAGUCGCUUCGCCCAGCCGCCUGGCCCCGAGCUGGGCCGCCCAACUCAGGGCGACCCCUUGGCGGGAAUCCCGGCCCGCCCACCCGGCUGCGGGGACCCGGCGCCCGGUCCGCCCGGCCCCGCCCAGUUCAUCGAGCUGCGGCACAAUGUGCAGAAGGGGCCGGGGCCGGGGGGCGCCCCCUACGCACUGCAGGGCCCCAUGCCGCGGGCCCGCUUCUUCCCGGGGGGCGAGGAGCCGCCUCGCCCGCCUCCCGACGGCCUGCGGACCCUGGCGCUGCCCGGCCCGUUGCCCCCGAGGCCCCCGGCACCUCCCGCCCCGCCCACGGCCGAGCCUGCCCCCAGCCUGCGCCCGCCGGCCCCCACUCCGCCCGCGGGCCCGGACCCCGGUCGCCCCCCAUUGGGGUUGGAGGCCGGGCGACUGCCCUGCGAGGAGCCUGAGCUAGAGGAUGACUUUGAUGCCCAUAAGGCCCUGGAGGACGACGAGGAGCUGGCCCAGCUGGGCCUGGGCGUGGAUGUGCCAAGGGGACGAUGACCUGGGGACCCUGGGGACCCUGGGGAACCUGGAGACCAACGACCCACACCUGGAUGACCUGCUGAAUGGCGACGAGUUCGAUCUGCUGGCCUACACCGACCCCGAGCUGGACACGGGUGACAAGAAGGACAUCUUCAACGAGCACUUGCGGCUAGUGGAGUCGGCCAAUGAGAAGGCGGAACGUGAGGCCUUGCUGCGGGGGGCCCCCCACCCGCCGCCCCCCGAGAGCGGCCCCCGAGUCCCGCCGCCCGGCCCCACCCCGCCGCCCUCUCAGUGCAACCCAAGCUUGAGGAGGGCGGGCCCCAGGCCUCCCCGUGCCAGUUCACCGCCAUGGCCGCCCCUAGACCCGAGCCCCCCCCACCCGACCCCGGCCCCUCCCCGCUGGCCCUGGGGCUGAAGCCCAGCCAGAGCCUCUUGGGGGCCCGGACAACCAGCUGGGCACGGGCACUUUGCUAACCACGGGCCCCGCCGCCGCCUCCCCCCGGCCCGGCUGCCCUCCCUCGAGCCCCUGGGCACCCCGCUGGGGGGCCCGUCCCUGCUGGAGAAGUUCGAGCUGGAGAGCGGGGCCCUGGGGCUCCCGGGCGUGCCCCCAGAGACGGGGGACGAGUUGGACAAGAUGGACAGCUCUCUGGUGGCCAGUGAGCUCCCCCUCCUCAUCGAGGACCUGUUGGAACAUGAGAAGAAGGAGCUGACAGAAGAACAGCAGCUCUCGGCCCAGCUGCAGCCCCAGCCCCUGCUGCUGGCGGCCCCCGGCACUGCCCAGUCCCUGCCUCUGCCGCCGGAGGGCCGGCCCCGGCCUGGCCGGCCCCCGCAGCAGCUCCCGCUCGGCCUGGGCGGCCCGGCAGCCCCGGGCUGGCAGCCCGAUGAUCGGCUGGCCACCCUCCCCCGAUCCCCCUGCAGCAGCCCUGGCCCCCCCAUGGCUUCUGGGGCCCCCUGCCCAUGGCGCAUCUGCUGGGCGGGCAGCACGGGGGCCCGGCGGGCCUGGCACCCCAGCAGAGCGCACAGCCCGGCGUUGGCCCAAAGCCCUUAGGCUCGGUGGCCCCCCUCGAUGGGCAUGA